GCCUUCGUGGUGUAGUGGUUUGAAUGCUCGACGCGUAACCGAGAGGUCCGUGGUUCGAUUCCCGGCGAAGGCG
rnacentral:tRNA from 1 species